UCUUGAUUUUUCAGGACAUGACAGCACUGCUGAUCUGCAAUGAGAGCUCACCUGAAAAGUGCAAACAGGAUUUCUUUUUCAUCAGUGCAUGUGUAGAUGGUGCUUUUUUUCCAAAGAGUCCCAUGGAAUUACUAUCUGAAAAAUCAAUCAAUGAGGUCCCAUACAUCAUAGGAGUGAAUAACUGUGAAUUUGGAUGGGUAAUUCCUAUGAUGAUGAAAUAUCCUCCUUUUGUGG